rnacentral:rRNA from 1 species
ACAGAGGUGGCAAGCGUUGUUCGGUAUCACUGGGCUUAAAGGGCGCGUAGGCGGCGCGGUACGGUCUGGGUGAAAUCCCUCGGCUCAACCGAGGAAUUGCCUGGGCAACGGCCGUGCUAGACAGCAUCAGGGGAAGGUGGAACUCGCGGUGGAGCGGUGAAAUGCGUAGAUAUCGCGAGGAACGCCGGUGGCGAAAGCGACCUUCUGGGGUGCUUGUGACGCUGAGGCGCGAAAGCUAGGGGAGCGAACGGG